GACGAACGCUGGCGGCGUGCUUAACACAUGCAAGUCGAACGGAAAGGCCCUGCUUUUGUGGGGUGCUCGAGUUGCGAACGGGUGAGUAACACGUGAGUAACCUGCCCUUGACUUUGGGAUAACUUCAUGCAACUGGGUCUAAUACCGGAUAGGAUCUCCUGCUGCAUGGUGGGGGUUGGAUAGUUUCGGUGGUUGGGGAUGGACUCGCGGCUUAUCAGCUUGUUGGUGGGGUAGUGUAUUACCAAGGCUUUGACGGGUAGCCGGGCUGGGAGGGGAAGCGGACAAACUGGGACGGGACUGAGACACAGACUAGUAUGGGAGGGAGGGGUGGGGUAUAGAAUAUAGGGGGAGGAAGGCUGGCGUGACCAAGCAACGCGGGGGGAGAGAGGCAGGGGGUUGUGAACCGCUUUCGCCUGUGACGAAGCGUGAGUGACGGUAAUGGGUAAAGAAGCACCGGCUAACUACGUG
rnacentral:rRNA from 1 species